CAGUCGCCGCGGUAACACGUAGGGUGCAAGCGUUAAUCGGAAUUACUGGGCGUAAAGCGUGCGCAGGCGGUUAUAUAAGACAGAUGUGAAAUCCCCGGGCUCAACCUGGGAACUGCAUUUGUGACUGUAUAGCUAGAGUACGGCAGAGGGGGAUGGAAUUCCGCGUGUAGCGGUGAAAUGCGUAGAUAUGCGGAGGAACACCGAUGGCGAAGGCAAUCCCCUGGGCCUGUACUGACGCUCAUGCACGAAAGCGUGGGGAGCAAACAGGAUUAGAUACCCGCGUAGUCCCUGUCUCUUAUAC
rnacentral:rRNA from 1 species